rnacentral:rRNA from 1 species
UACGUAGGGUGCGAGCGUUAAUCGGAAUUACUGGGCGUAAAGCGUGCGCAGGCGGUGAUGUAAGACAGGUGUGAAAUCCCCGGGCUUAACCUGGGAACUGCAUUUGUAACUGCAUCGCUGGAGUACGGCAGAGGGGGAUGGAAUUCCGCGUGUAGCAGUGAAAUGCGUAGAUAUGCGGAGGAACACCGAUGGCGAAGGCAAUCCCCUGGGCCUGUACUGACGCUCAUGCACGAAAGCGUGGGGAGCAAACAGG